rnacentral:rRNA from 1 species
UACAGAGGGGGCAAGCGUUGUUCGGAAUUACUGGGCGUAAAGGGCGCGUAGGCGGCCCGCUAAGUCGAACGUGAAAUCCCCGGGCUCAACCCGGGAACUGCGUCCGAUACUGGGAGGCUUGAAUCCGGGAGAGGGAUGUGGAAUUCCAGGUGUAGCGGUGAAAUGCGUAGAUAUCUGGAGGAACACCGGUGGCGAAGGCGGCAUCCUGGACCGGUAUUGACGCUGAGGCGCGAAAGCCAGGGGAGCGAACGGG